rnacentral:rRNA from 1 species
AUUGAACGCUGGCGGCAUGCCUUACACAUGCAAGUCGAACGGCAGCACGGGAGCAAUCCUGGUGGCGAGUGGCGAACGGGUGAGUAAUAUAUCGGAACGUGCCCAGUCGUGGGGGAUAACGUAGCGAAAGCUACGCUAAUACCGCAUACGAUCUAUGGAUGAAAGCGGGGGAUCGCAAGACCUCGCGCGAUUGGAGCGGCCGAUAUCAGAUUAGGUAGUUGGUGGGGUAAAAGCCUACCAAGCCUUCGAUCUGUAGCUGGUCUGAGAGGACGACCAGCCACACUGGGACUGAGACACGGCCCAGACUCCUACGGGAGGCAGCAGUGGGGAAUAUUGGACAAUGGGCGCAAGCCUGAUCUAGCCAUGCCGCGUGAGCGAUGAAGGCCUUAGGGUUGUAAAGCUCUUUCAGGGGGGAAGAUAAUGACUGUACCCCCAGAAGAAGCCCCGGCUAACUCCGUGCCAGCAGCCGCGGUAAUGUCGA